ensembl:lncRNA
AAGGUAGAGGGAUGGAGGUGAAGGUAGAGGGAUGGAGGUGAAGGGAUGAAGGUAGAGGGAUGGAGGUGAAGGUGGAGGGAUGGAGGUGAAGGGAUGAAGAUAGAGGGAUGGAGGUGAUGGUGGAGGAAUGGAGGUGAAGGUGGAGCAAUGGAGAUGAAGGUGAUGGGAUGGAGGUGAAGGUAGAGGGAUGGAGGUGAAGGGAUGAAGGGAGGGAUGGAGGUGAAUGGAUGAGGGUAGAGGGAUGGAGGUGAAGGUAGAGGGAUGGAGGUGAAGGUAGCGGCAUGGAGGUGAAGGUAGAGGGAUGGAGGUGAAGG